CUACGGGACGCUCCAGUGGGGAAUAUUGGACAAUGGACGAAAGUCCGAUCCAGCGACACCGCGUGGGGGGUGAAGGCUUUCGGGUUGUAAACCCCUUUUCUGGAGGAAGAAUAAGGUUGGGAGGAAAUGCCCAUCCGAUGACGGUACUCCAGGAAUAAGCAUCGGCAAACUUCGUGCCAGCAGCCGCGGUAAGACGAAGGAUGCGAGCGUUAUCCGGAAUUACUGGGCGUAAAGGACAUCUAGGCGGUUGGAUAAGUCAUUUGUGAAAUCCCAGGGCUUAACCCUGGAAGGUCUUGUGAUACUGUCCGGCUCGGGUGUAGGAGAGGAGAGCGGAACUCACAGAGUAGCGGUGGAAUGCGUAGAUACUGUGAGGUACCCCGAUGGCGAAGGCAGCUCUCUGGCCUACUACCGACGCUGAAGCGUGAAAGCGUGGGGAGCAAAGGGGAUUAGAUACCCGCGUAGUC
rnacentral:rRNA from 1 species